UACAGAGGGUGCAAGCGUUAAUCGGAAUUACUGGGCGUAAAGCGUGCGUAGACGGUCAUGUAAGUCGGGUGUGAAAGCCCCGGGCUCAACCUGGGAAUUGCAUUCGAGACUGCAUGGCUAGGGUGCGGAAGAGGGAAGCGGAAUUUCCGGUGUAGCGGUGAAAUGCGUAGAUAUCAGGAGGAACACCGAUGGCGAAGGCAGCUGCCUGGCCUAACACUGACGCUGAGGUGCGAAAGCGUGGGGAGCGAACGGG
rnacentral:rRNA from 1 species